rnacentral:lncRNA from 1 species
UAUUACUCAAAAUUUCGUCGUCUCUAUCAAAACUUUAGAAUUACUCAAAAUCUAAAUUUUCUCCCUCACGCAAUAUGUUCUCUCUCCCUCCCUCUCUGCCGUUUCCUUCUCCCAAAUUUCUCCGGCGAACAUCGCCGGUUCUCGUCGCCUCCGGCGCGGCGAGGCUGGCGUCUCUCUCGUCGCAUCGCCACUCCUCCAUCUCAGGUAAACCCCCUAUCUCUCUCUCCAUCUCUCACACUCGAUCUCAUUUGCUCUCGAUCUCUCUCUGCCCUAGAUCUCUCUCUGCCUCUCGCUAUCUCUCUCUCUUUCUCCAUCUCACCGUGUAAUGUGAUGAUGCCUUUUGGUAUCAGAUCUGAGAAUUUCGUUUCCAACGCUCCACUCACCGCCGUCCAGGAACUCGUCCCGCCUCCCCACCGUCGAUCCACUGCUGCGCCUGGCCUCGCCGUCGCCGUCGAUUGCAGCGCCUCGCCUUGCCGCAUUGUUGCGCCUCUCCUCGCUGGGCCGUGUAUUGCUGCUCCUCGCCUCGCCGCACCGUCUAUUGCUGCGCCUCGCCUCGCCAUCGAUUGUUGCAUCUCGACUCGCCAUCGAUUGUUGCCACCCAUUGAGAUCUCUAAAUCCUGACGCCUCACCCCCCUCGUCGCUCGACUGCACCUCCGCCUCAUUGUCUACGCUAUCACCAGGUACACCAUUUUCGACAGCACCAAACGGAGCAGCUUAUUAGGUUAAGUGGUUUUGAGUAUUCUUUGUUUUUUAAUUUGCUAAUGUAGUUGUGAUACCUAUAAUUUCUUCACUUUGUCUCUGCACUUCAAUUUGCUAAGGUUUUUGUUAAGUUCUUCAAUUUGUCUCUACAUUUGCUAAGGUUUUUGUUUGAGAAUUUUGAAGAACCGAGAGUCUUGGAAAAGAGAGGAUUUGAACCGAGAGUCAGCCACACACACACUACUGCAUUCUUCGAUUUCUGCUGUGAAACGUUUAAAUAACGUGAUUGAUUUGUUAGAUUUAAAUAACGAUUUAACCUAUGCAGGAAUUGCAAAACUAUCCUCGUUAGAUUAUACUUGACUCGGUGUUUCUGUAAAUUUUGAUUUUUUUCUUUACCUGUAUUUGUUUUGGCUUGGUUAACUAAGUAAUACUUCUGAAUAAAUUGUAAUUGGCUAAAUUUCAGGAAGUACUCGUACUUCUUUGUUUAUGUUUUGAACUCAUGUUGUGCAUGUGGUGUAGCAUCUAAUACAAAUAAGAAGAUUUCAGAGCUAGAUGUAUACACUGUUUCUGUCACUUUAUGUUAUUUUUGUCAAUAGCUGAAUCCAGACUGUGGUGACCUCAGAAAUCUUAGUUCUUAGCUGUGGGAGGUAUAUUCAACCGGUAAAUCCUGAACUUCGUAGCUUCAUUCNNNNN